rnacentral:rRNA from 1 species
GACGAACGCUGGCGGCGUGCCUAAUACAUGCAAGUCGAACGAACCGCGACUGAGUGCUUGCACUUGGUCAAGGUGAGUGGCGAACGGGUGAGUAACACGUGGGUAACCUACCUCAUAGUGGGGGAUAACAGUCGGAAACGACUGCUAAUACCGCAUAGGACAUAGGAUCACAUGAUCCAGUGAGGAAAGGUGGCGCAAGCUAUCGCUAAGAGAUGGACCCGCGGUGCAUUAGCUAGUUGGUAGGGUAAAGGCCUACCAAGGCGAUGAUGCAUAGCCGACCUGAGAGGGUGAUCGGCCACAUUGGGACUGAGACACGGCCCAAACUCCUACGGGAGGCAGCAGUAGGGAAUCUUCCGCAAUGGACGCAAGUCUGACGGAGCAACGCCGCGUGAGUGAAGAAGGUCUUCGGAUCGUAAAGCUCUGUUGUUAGAGAAGAACAGCGCAUAGAGUAACUGCGAUGCGCGUGACGGUAUCUAACCAGAAAGCCACGGCUAACUACGU